UCAGGAUGAACGCUGGCGGCGUGCUUACACAUGCAAGUCGAACGGACUCUUCGGAGUUAGUGGCGGACGGGUGAGUAACGCGUGAGAAUCUGCCUUCAGGAGGGGGACAACAGUUGGAAACGACUGCUAAUACCGCAUAUGCCGAGAGGUGAAACAUUUAUGGCCUGAAGAGGAGCUCGCGUCUGAUUAGCUAGUUGGUGAGGUAAGAGCUUACCAAGGCGACGAUCAGUAGCUGGCCUGAGAGGAUGAUCAGCCACACUGGGACUGAGACACGGCCCAGACUCCUACGGGAGGCAGCAGUGGGGAAUUUUCCGCAAUGGGGGCAACCCUGACGGAGCAACGCCGCGUGCGGGAAGAAUGCCUGUGGGUUGUAAACCGCUUUUCUCAAGGAAGAAGACAGUGACGGUACUUGAGGAAUCAGCAUCGGCUAACUCCGUGCCAGCAGCCGCGGUAAUACGGAGGAUGCAAGCGUUAUCCGGAAUUAUUGGGCGUAAAGCGUCCGUAGGUGGCCCAUCAAGUCUGCUGUCAAAGCGCGAAGCUUAACUUCGUAACGGCGGUGGAAACUGAUGAGCUAGAGUGCGGUAGGGGUAGAGGGAACUCCCAGUGUAGCGGUGAAAUGCGUAGAUAUUGGGAAGAACACCGGUGGCGAAAGCGCUCUGCUGGACCUGCACUGACACUGAUGGACGAAAGCUAGGGGAGCGAAAAGGGAUUAGAUACCCCUGUAGUCC
rnacentral:rRNA from 1 species